AUUUGUACGACAGAUUUCUCCCGUUAGUCAGAGAUGUUGAUGGAAGAGAAUGCAGAAGAGAUGAGGUAUGAGGAGGACCCGACCACCAUUGCUGGCUUUGAAGAUGAAGGGGUCCACGAGCCAAAGAAUGUGGAGUGUGAGUGGCCUCUUUAGAAGCUGAGAACAACUGUAGCCCAAAAGCCAGCAAAGAAAUGGAGACCUCACUCCUGCAACUGCAUGGAACUAAAUGUUGCCAACAACAUGAGCCAGGGAUCACAUUGUCCCCCAGAACCUUCAUAAGAAUAGCAAUCCUGCCACCUUGGUUUUAGCCUGCUUGGACUUCAUCCACCAAGACAGAAUCAUGCAUCCCUGACAGAGCCAGGUUUCAGCAUGUACUUCUCCGAUCUCCCCACAAGUUUGGAAGUGGGUUUUGUAACUGAGCCUGUGAGACAUGGCGGUGAGAAUGCGAAAGAGGAAGUUGAGCAUCAAUCAAGGCAAGUGCUGAUUGCUUGUUCCUUUAUAUUUCCUACUACAAAGAACAGUAUGAUAGUUAUUUAAAAACAAAGGAAGAAAGAGAAAUUAUGAGGGUUUUUUUAAAACCAAAUGUGGAAAGGACAAAGGAUAUUGAGAAGGUGAGGGAGUAAGAAACUUCUGAUGCAUGUUCAAAGUCUCCCCGUGAGUCCCCAGCAGUGGGGUGGGACUGGAUGUUGAGUUUGGGCUCGGUGUGAGCUGUGACCUUAGGUAAGUAACUUAAACUUUGUAAGCCUCCGAUUCCCUAUCUGUAAAAUAGGAUUAUUAACAGUAGCUUCUUCAUGAGUUUAUGAUCAGGGUUAAAUGAGCUAGUGAACGUGAAGUGCCUGGCAAAUGACCAUUGCUCUACAAAAGUAGCAGCUCCUGCUAGUAAAUUCCAAAGUCCAAAAGGCUUGUCACCCCAGUUAGUUCUGUGGGGCUCCUGUCCUUGGGCACCAACCACUAUAAGCCCAUACUCCCUUGGAAGGAGUGAGCCCCCUUCUGAAGAAGUAUGUAUAUUACUCCUGGUUGGGGAAAGAAUGACCAGAUGUAAAUAUGGUUGUUGAGAUACACAGUUGACCCUUGAACAACAUGGGGGUUAGGGGCACUGACCUCCUGUGCAGUUGAAAGUAUAUAUAGUUUUGACUCCCCCCAAAACUGAAUACUAAUAGCCUACUGUUGACCGGAAGCCUUACUGGUAACAUAAACAGUCGAUUAGCACAUAUUUUGUAUGUUAUAGGUACUAUACAUUGUAUUCUUACAACAAAUUAAACUUUAAAAAGUUAUUAGGAAAAUCAUAAGAGAAAAUCCACCUAUAGUACUGUACUCUUUAUAAAAAAAAUCCACGUGUAAAUGAACCCACAUGGUUCAAACCCGUGUUGUUCAAGGGUCAACUGUACUAAAAUCUCUAUUCAGCAAGAACUGCUAGGUUGACUUGCAAAAUUCGACAUCAGAUAAAUGACAUGAGCAGGGUUAGAACUCUUUAGAGCAAUAGGGAAUGCAGGUUAAAGCAGCUUCAAGAGUCUGCUAAUUAUGAGAAUAAAAUGAGAAAGAAUUGGCAAAGGGACUGGUUACUGAUAGGAAUGUGCCCAGGCAGAGACAAAGUCCCAGGAGAAAGAAAUCAGUUCAAGGAGCGGACUAGGAGAGAGAGAGAGAAAAGGACAGGGCUUGUUGCAUAUGAUCAUCACAACCCACUGUGAUGUGCAACAGAGAGAACCUCCCUUCCUGGCAGUCAGGGGAGCUGAGAAACUCACUUAACUGAUUCACAAGGGAAGAAAAAAGAGAUAUUAGAAGCCUGAACAUUCAGUCUUUGGAAAAGAAACCCCUGAACCUAUGGGUGAUGGGAAUAGAAAUUGAACCUCAGGGCUCAUGUCAUAAAAUGUUCUCUUGUAGACCUGUUUUAGAGUAAUAGUGAUUCCAGUUUUUCUUCCUUGAAAAUAUGUUUCAAGUAGAUAAAGGUUGAUCUCACUCACUUAACCUUCAUUAAAAAGCAUCCAAAGUCAUUUAUUAAUUUU